rnacentral:rRNA from 1 species
UACAGAGGUCCCAAGCGUUGUUCGGAUUCACUGGGCGUAAAGGGUGCGUAGGUGGUGAGGUAAGUCGGAUGUGAAAUCUCCGAGCUCAACUCGGAAAUGGCAUUGGAAACUACCUUGCUCGAGGGUUGGAGGGGGGACUGGAAUGCUUGGUGUAGCAGUGAAAUGCGUAGAUAUCGAGAGGAACACCAGAGGCGAAGGCGGCUAUCUGGACGGUUUCUGACACUAAGACACGAAAGCGUGGGGAGCAAACAGG